rnacentral:tRNA from 6 species
ACACCUAUCGUCUAAUGGCUAGGACAUCAGGAUUUCAAUCUGAGAAUCGGAGUUCAAUCUGAGAAUCGGAGUUCAAUUCUCCGUGGGUGUACCA